rnacentral:rRNA from 1 species
AGUGAACGCUGGCGGUAGGCCUAACACAUGCAAGUCGAACGGCAGCACAGGAGAGCUUGCUCUCUGGGUGGCGAGUGGCGGACGGGUGAGGAAUACAUCGGAAUCUACUUUUUCGUGGGGGAUAACGUAGGGAAACUUACGCUAAUACCGCAUACGACCUACGGGUGAAAGCAGGGGACCUUCGGGCCUUGCGCGAUUGAAUGAGCCGAUGUCGGAUUAGCUAGUUGGCGGGGUAAAGGCCCACCAAGGCGACGAUCCGUAGCUGGUCUGAGAGGAUGAGCAGCCACACUGGAACUGAGACACGGUCCAGACUCCUACGGGAGGCAGCAGUGGGGAAUAUUGGACAAUGGGCGCAAGCCUGAUCCAGCCAUACCGCGUGGGUGAAGAAGGCCUUCGGGUUGUAAAGCCCUUUUGUUGGGAAAGAAAUCCAGCCGGUUAAUACCUGGUUGGGAUGACGGUACCCGAAGAAUAAGCACCGGCUAACUUCGUGCCAGCCGCCGCAGUAAGAC